rnacentral:rRNA from 1 species
AUUGAACGCUGGCGGCAUGCUUUACACAUGCGAGUCGAACGGUAACAGGGUGCUUGCACCGCUGACGAGUGGCGAACGGGUGAGUAAUGCGUCGGAACGUGCCGAGUAGUGGGGGAUAACGCAGCGAAAGUUGUGCUAAUACCGCAUACGUACUGAGGUAGAAAGUGGGGGACCUUCGGGCCUCACGCUAUUCGAGCGGCCGACGUCUGAUUAGCUAGUAGGUGAGGUAAAGGCUCACCUAGGCGACGAUCAGUAGCGGGUCUGAGAGGAUGAUCCGCCACACUAGGACUGAGACACGGCCCAGACUCCUACGGGAGGCAGCAGUGGGGAAUUUUGGACAAUGGGCGAAAGCCUGAUCCAGCCAUGCCGCGUGUCUGAAGAAGGCCUUCGGGUUGUAAAGGACUUUUGUCAGGGAGGAAAUCCCUAGCGUUAAUACCGCUGGGGGAUGACAGUACCUGAAGAAUAAGCACCGGCUAACUACGUGCCAGCAGCCGCCGUAACAC